CCAAAAAGAAAAAAAAACGAGGACAGGAACUUGGUUUGUUUUUGAGACAGGAUCAAUCUGUCUGGCUUGCAAAUGCUGUGUGGAACAACGUGGCGUCAGUCUCACAGAGCUCUUCCCGCCUCUGCCUCCUGAGUGCUGGUAUUAAGGGUGUGUACUACCAGGCCUGGUGUGAACUGAGUUUAAGGACCCCAGAUUUGAUCUCCAGAACUAUAGAAGA